CUAUUAAUAUUUUGUUUUUUUUAGAGUUUGGAUCCUGGCUCAGAUUGAACGCUGGCGGCAGGCUUAACACAUGCAAGUCGAACGAUGACUCUCUAGCUUGCUAGAGAUGAUUAGUGGCGGACGGGUGAGUAACAUUUAGGAAUCUGCCUAGUAGUGGGGGAUAGCUCGGGGAAACUCGAAUUAAUACCGCAUACGACCUACGGGUGAAAGGGGGCGCAAGCUCUUGCUAUUAGAUGAGCCUAAAUCAGAUUAGCUAGUUGGUGGGGUAAAGGCCCACCAAGGCGACGAUCUGUAACUGGUCUGAGAGGAUGAUCAGUCACACCGGAACUGAGACACGGUCCGGACUCCUACGGGAGGCAGCAGUGGGGAAUAUUGGACAAUGGGGGCAACCCUGAUCCAGCCAUGCCGCGUGUGUGAAGAAGGCCUUUUGGUUGUAAAGCACUUUAAGCAGGGAGGAGAGGCUAAUGGUUAAUACCCAUUAGAUUAGACGUUACCUGCAGAAUAAGCACCGGCUACUCUGUAGCGACC
rnacentral:rRNA from 1 species